GCCUGGUAGCCAAGUGGCUAGCCUAUGGCCUUUCGUGUCACAGGCUUCAGGUUCGAAUCCUGGCAGGGGCA